rnacentral:rRNA from 1 species
AGCGAACGCUGGCGGCAGGCUUAACACAUGCAAGUCGAGCGGGUGUAGCAAUACAUCAGCGGCAGACGGGUGAGUAACGCGUGGGAACGUACCUUUUGGUUCGGAACAACCCAGGGAAACUUGGGCUAAUACCGGAUAAGCCCUUACGGGGAAAGAUUUAUCGCCGAAAGAUCGGCCCGCGUCUGUUUAGCUAGUUGGUGAGGUAAUGGCUCACCAAGGCGACGAUCAGUAGCUGGUCUGAGAGGAUGAUCAGCCACAUUGGGACUGAGACACGGCCCAAACUCCUACGGGAGGCAACAGUGGGGAAUAUUGGACAAUGGGGGCAACCCUGAUCCAGCCAUGCCGCGUGAGUGAUGAAGGCCCUAGGGUUGUAAAGCUCUUUUGUGCGGGAAGAUAAUGACGGUACCGCAAGAAUAAGCCCCGGCUAACUUCGUGCCAGCCGCCGCCGUAAAAC